CAUAAUCAUUAGUUUCUUAAUUGGUAACUUGUAUGAAAGGUUGAACAAAGGAAAAGCUGUCUCUAUUAUAGGAUUUGAAUUUGACUUUUAAGUGAAAAGGCUUAAAUAAAUUAGAGGGACGAUAAGACCCUAUAAAGCUUUAUAAAUAAAUAAAAAUUUGUUAAAAUUUAUAUAUAAAAUCAUGUUUUUAUUGUUUUAUUUUAUUGGGGCGAUAUAAAUAUAAGUUAGUUAACUGUUUAAUGAAUAGUACAAUAUAAAUGAAUUAAAAUUAAUUGAUCCUUUUUUAAGAUUAAAAGUCCAAGUUACUUUAGGGAUAACAGCGUUAUUUCUUUUAAGAGUCCUUAUCGAAAAAGAAGUUUGCGACCUCGAUGUUGAAUUAAAUUUUCUGUGUAAUGAAGUCGUUAUGAAAG
rnacentral:rRNA from 1 species